UACGAAGGGGGCUAGCGUUGUUCGGAUUUACUGGGCGUAAAGCGCACGUAGGCGGGUCGUUAAGUCGGGGGUGAAAUCCUGGAGCUCAACUCCAGAACUGCCUUCGAUACUGGAGAGCUUGAGUCCGGGAGAGGUGAGUGGAACUGCGAGUGUAGAGGUGAAAUUCGUAGAUAUUCGCAAGAACACCAGUGGCGAAGGCGGCUCACUGGCCCGAUACUGACGCUGAGGCACGAAAGCGUGGGGAGCAAACAGG
rnacentral:rRNA from 1 species